GACAGAGGCCUCAAGCGUUAGGCGGAAUCACUGGGCUUAAAGCGUGUGUAGGCGGAUCGUUAAGUGUCUUGUGAAAUCCCACGGCUCGCCCGUGGAACUGCUGGGCAUACUGGCGAUCUUGGGCCAACUAGGGGCAACUGGAACAAGCGGUGGAGCGGUGAAAUGCGUAGAUAUCGCUUGGAACGCCGAAGGUGAAAACAGGUUGCUGGGGUUGUGCCGACGCUGAGACACGAAAGCCAGGGGAGCAAACGGG
rnacentral:rRNA from 1 species